ensembl:lncRNA
CAUUGCUGAAAAUAAUAAGUCUUACUCAGAACAGAACAGGACAAUACAUUCAUGUCAAACUUGGCGGUGCAUAUUUUCGCUUGAUUGGCGACCUAAAGAUUUGACCAGCGCAGGAAAUCCCCAGUUCGGUUUAUACGUAUAUGAGCGAUUCUGCGAUUCUGUACAAGCUGAAGAAUAGGGAAGAAUGGCUUGUCGAGGGAUUACUGGUGCAUAUGAUGUCAUUGUAAAACUGAAAGCUGGUAAUCCCCGUAAUCUUCAACCAACAUGACAUGCAGGGAAUCUGGUUUCCUUGAGUGCUUCAGACGGUCUGUUGUUGUUUUGAAUGAGCGCUUGAUGCAAAUCCUACUUUGGCUGCACUUCCGGGGGAAAAUGUCCUGACGAGCACUCAGCAUCUGCCCACUUGAGGUGCAUCGCUUGGGCUGGAGUCUGAGGAGAGACGGGAUCUCUGACCGGGAGUGACUCAGUGAUGACAGAAGCUCCAGAUUACAGGGUUUAGGCCUGCACUUCCCUUCACACAGCAAACGUCGCCCACGCUGGGUGUGUGGGCCCUGACAGCUCUAAAAACAGAGCCCUGCUUUCCUGACCGAGAGAACCGGAUUUUACCAUAUGAGCUUGAGAGGGGUGAAGAGAGGUCACACGUUGUUUGGUGACGUGCAGAAUCUAGUGGUGGUUUUUUAAAGCAAGGCCUGGUUUCUGAAUGCAGAUGCUUUCAGAGGAACCAAAACUCAUAAGAGGACAUCUUAAGGUCUUCUAACAAGCAAUGAAAGUAAGCAAACAUUAUGAAAGCGCUGGCCUCCGGGCACAUGCUGUCACCUGCCAAACGCUGUGAUGAGAGGCAUGGAAAUACUCUCCACACCAGCAGAGAAGAGCUUCAGAGAAGCACCUGUGGAUAGAAACACACAAGCCACAAAAAAAUAGAUUUUUAUAUUGUCACUGCUGCUGAACUGGCACAAGACUUUAAGAGUCAAAUACUAAUAAAUAUAACAAACCAGCUGAAUAGUGAAGCCUUGUGUGAGGUUGAAAGCUUGUGUGAGUCUUCAGUGAUGCUCUCAGACGUCAUUCUCACACAUUCAGAGACACAGGGCUGAUGGUGUAUCUGUGCUGGAUCUUCACUGACAUCAAGCAUCUGUAAGAUUCUCAGCAAGAAACUAUUUAAAGGUCUCUUGUUCUCACAAACAUACUGUAAGACUUCAGAAAAUUUGAAAUACAUUAUAAAAGCUUUUUUUGCUCAAUUUUUUAGGCUAGACACCC